AGAGUUUGAUCCUGGCUCAGGAUGAACGCUGGCGGCGUGCUUAACACAUGCAAGUCGAGCGAAGCACUUAUCAUUGACUCUUCGGGGGAUUUGAUAUUUGACUGAGCGGCGGACGGGUGAGUAACGCGUGGGUAACCUGCCUCAUACAGGGGAAUAACAGUUAGAAAUGGCUGCUAAUGCCGCAUAAGCGCACAGGACCGCAUGGUCUGGUGUGAAAAACUGAGGUGGUAUGAGAUGGACCCGCGUCUGAUUAGGUAGUUGGUGGGGUAACGGCCUACCAAGCCGACGAUCAGUAGCCGGCCUGAGAGGGUGAACGGCCACAUUGGGACUGAGACACGGCCCAGACUCCUACGGGAGGCAGCAGUGGGGAAUAUUGCACAAUGGGGGAAACCCUGAUGCAGCGACGCCGCGUGAAGGAAGAAGUAUCUCGGUAUGUAAACUUCUAUCAGCAGGGAAGAAAAUGACGGUACCUGACUAAGAAGCCCCGGCUAACUACGUGCCAGCAGCCGCGGUAAUACGUAGGGGGCAAGCGUUAUCCGGAUUUACUGGGUGUAAAGGGAGCGUAGACGGAAGAGCAAGUCUGAUGUGAAAGGCUGGGGCUUAACCCCAGGACUGCAUUGGAAACUGUUUUUCUAGAGUGCCGGAGAGGUAAGCGGAAUUCCUAGUGUAGCGGUGAAAUGCGUAGAUAUUAGGAGGAACACCAGUGGCGAAGGCGGCUUACUGGACGGUAACUGACGUUGAGGCUCGAAAGCGUGGGGAGCAAACUAGGAAAAGAUACCCUGGUAGUCCACGCCGUAAACGAUG
rnacentral:rRNA from 1 species